GUAACUACUGGAAACGGUAGCUAAUACCGCAUAACGUCGCAAGACCAAAGAGGGGGACCUUCGGGCCUCUUGCCAUCGGAUGUGCCCAGAUGGGAUUAGCUAGUAGGUGGGGUAACGGCUCACCUAGGCGACGAUCCCUAGCUGGUCUGAGAGGAUGACCAGCCACACUGGAACUGAGACACGGUCCAGACUCCUACGGGAGGCAGCAUG
rnacentral:rRNA from 1 species